rnacentral:tRNA from 1 species
CGGGAUGUAGCUCAGUUGGCUAGAGCGCGUCGUUCGGGACGACGAGGCCCGCGGUUCAAGUCCGCGCAUCCCGACCA